rnacentral:rRNA from 1 species
GUUUGAUCAUGGCUCAGGAUGAACGCUGGCGGCGUGCCUAAUACAUGCAAGUCGAACGGUCCGCAAGGAUAGUGGCGAACGGGUGAGUAACGCGUUGGUGACCUGCCCUGAAGAGGGGGAUACCGGAUCGAAAGGUCCGCUAAUACCGCAUACGCUCUGUCUAGUUAGAGAGGACAGAGGAAAGCCGAAAGGCGCUUUAGGAGGGACCUGCGUCCCAUCAGCUAGUUGGUAAGGUAGUGGCUCACCAAGGCGAUGACGGGUAGGGGACCUGAGAGGGUGACCCCCCACGAUGGAACUGAAACACGGUCCAUACACCUACGGGUGGCAGCAGUAGGGAAUAUUGGUUAAUGGGCGAAAGCCUGACCCAGCAACGCCGCGUGAACGAUGGAGGCCUUCGGGUUGUAAAGUUCUUUUGGCAGGGAUGAGGAAGGACAGUACCUGUCGAAUAAGUCUCGGCUAACUACGUGCCAGCAGCCGCGGUAACACGUAGGAGACGAGCGUUAUCCGGAUUUACUGGGUGUAGAGCGCGUGCAGGCGGCAUGGUAAGUUGGAUGUGAAAGCUCCUGGCUUAACUGGGAGAGGUCGUUCAAGACUGCCAGGCUAGAGGACAGCAGAGGGGAGUGGAAUUCCGAGUGUAGCGGUAAAAUGCAUAGAUAUUCGGAAGAACACCAGUGGCGAAGGCGGCUCUCUGGGCUGUAACUGACGCUCAGACGCGAAAGCUAGGGUAGCAAACGGGAUUAGAGACCCCGGUAGUCCUAGCCGUAAACGAUGUGGACUUGGCGUAGGUGGGUUCAAAUCCAUCUGUGCCGAAGCAAACGCGAUAAGUCCACCACCUGGGGACUACGGGCCGCAAGGCUAAAACUCAAAGGAAUUGACGG